AAAUGAUUGACACGAUUGAUAUUUCCGAGUCAAUUUCUUCAUUUGAGCGAUAGCUAAUGAAAACGAGUAGCAGGUUUGGUAUUUGUAUCUUCCUGCAUUUGAACGAUAGCUAAUGAAAACGAGUAGCAGGAUUGGUAUUUGUAUCUUCCUGCAUUUGAACGAUAGCUAAUGAAAACGAGUGGCAGGAUUGGUAUUAGUAUCCUCCUGCAUUUGAACGAUAGCUAAUGAAAACGAGUGGCAGGAUUGGUAUUAGUAUCUUCCUGCAUUUGAACGAUAGAUAAUGAAAACGAGUGGCAGGAUUGGCAUUAGUAUCUUCCUGCAUUUGAACGAUAGCUAAUGAAAACGAGUAGCAGGUUUGGUAUUUGUAUCUUCCUGCAUUUGAACGAUAGAUAAUGAAAACGAGUAGCAGAAUCGGUAUUAGUAUCUUCCUGCAUUUGAACGAUAGCUAAUGAAAACGAGUGGCAGGAUUGGUAUUAGUAUCCUCCUGCAUUUGAACGAUAGCUAAUGAAAACGAGUAGCAGGUUUGGUAUUUGUAUCUUCCUGCAUUUGAACGAUAGCUAAUGAAAACGAGUAGCAGGUUUGGUAUUAGUAUCUUCCUGCAUUUGAACGAUAGAUAAUGAAAACGAGUGGCAGAAUUGGUAUUAGUAUCUUCCUGCAUUUGAACGAUAGAUAAUGAAAACGAGCGGCAGGAUUGGUAUUUGUACCCUUCUGCAUUUGAACGAUAGAUAAUGAAAACGAUUGACAGCCUUGGUAUUUCUAAUUCUAUUUCCCUUUUAAGCUGUCCAUUAAAUGAUGAAAACUGAGUACCCAUUUUGACAUUCCAGGUAAUUGUUCUUGAUUAAACAGGUGAUUCCAGGUAUUCGCUCACCUUCCCUACCUGCGAGCAGAGAGAAAAUAAUGAAGAGGGGGAAAAUAAAGGAAUAAAAUGUAAAAUAAAUUGAGAAACUUUAAUGUAGUAGGAAAAAAUUAAGAUUAACUAGGAAUUAAAAGACAGUAAAGACGGAACAAAAAUAAGAGAAUAAAACAAGAAAAAAAGAAGGAAAAAAGGAAGGAUUGACUGAUUACCUGGACCGAACCUGUACAAGAAAAAAAGUGAAUUAAUUAAAAGGUAAAUUGGCUCAUAACAACUAAUAAAAGACAGGUAAAUCAGGUGUCUGUAGCAUGUAUCUCCAGCCAAACGUAACAAUGUGUUUUGAAAUUUUUGUACUAAAUAAUAAAAUAAAAGUUUCUGGCAUCCAAAAA